rnacentral:lncRNA from 1 species
CUACACUUGUUUACGUCCUCGUAUCCGUCUCGGUGCAACUUAGUGAAUAAUUUAUUAAAGAUUUGGAUUCCUCAACUUACCACCAUUUAAAGUUAGAAACCCAAUAAACUUAAUAUUACUCAACUUUUGCAUGUCUAGUGCAAAAGAGUCUGACUAUCAGUUUUAUCAUCUAGUGCUAAACACAGCUACUGCACUUAAUCAUUUUAUAGAGACACUUAGCCUUAAUGUGUAACCUAAGCUACAUAUAACUCACGACCAUAGCGUUCCAGCAGCUAAACUUCUCUCAGCCUCCAUAGCUCUAUACACUUUUUCUGCAUCUUUCACCAUUUCAUACUUCAAAUCAAUCCCAAGCCUUCAAUACACAAGAAAACACCGGUACCAUUUAGAAAUUCAGAGAGUUUAAUAUGAUUUUAUGGUUGGACGACAACACUCAAGAAAUAGCGGAUAAAGUGUUGGAGUCUCACAAACUCAGGCUGCAAUUGAACACAACAUUACAAUCCUUCAAACUACAACAUUUACCUCCAUCACAGAGUUUCAAAUGAUGGAUCU